rnacentral:rRNA from 1 species
ACUGAACGCUGGCGGAAUGCUUUACACAUGCAAGUCGAACGGCAGCACGGACUUCGGUCUGGUGGCGAGUGGCGAACGGGUGAGUGAUGUAUCGGAACGUGCCCAGUCGUGGGGGAUAACGUAGUGAAAAUUACGCUAAUACCGCAUACGAUCUAUGGAUGAAAGCGGGGGAUCGCAAGACCUCGCGCGAUUGGAGCGGCCGAUAUCAGAUUAGGUAGUUGGUGGGGUAAAGGCCCACCAAGCCAACGAUCUGUAGCUGGUCUGAGAGGACUACCAGCCACACUGGAACUGAGACACGGUCCAGACUCCUACGGGAGGCAGCAGUGGGGAAUUUUGGACAAUGGGCGAAAGCCUGAUCCAGCCAUUCCGCGUGCAGGAUGAAGGCCCUCGGGUUGUAAACUGCUCUUGUACAGAACGAAAAGGUUUCUACUAAUACUAGGAGCUCAUGACGGUACUGUAAGAAUAAGCACCGGCUAACUACGUGCCAGCCGCCGCCGUAA